rfam:Pristionchus pacificus strain PS312 contig10118, whole genome shotgun sequence.
UCUUCAUUUCACGUGCUCUCUCUCUCCGGUCAGAGAGGCGAGAGAGUGUGUGAAAUGAAGAGA